GAGAGACUGAGAUGAGUGUGUGUGUAUGUGAGAUCUGUGAGACUGAGAUGAGUGUGUGUGUGUGAGAUCUGUGAGACUGAGAUGAAUGAGUGUGUGAGAUCUUUGAGACUGAGAUGAGUGUGUGAGAUCUGUGACUGAGAUGAGUGUGUGUGUGAGAUCUGUCAGACUGAGAUAAGUGUGUGUGUGAGAUCUCUGAGACUGAGAUGAGUGUGUGUGUGUGAGAUCUGUGAGACUGAGAUGAGUGUGUGUGUGAGAUCUCUGAGACUGAGAUGAGUGUGUGUGUGUGAGAUCUGUGAGACUGAGAUGAGUGUGUGUGUGAGAUCUCUGAGACUGAGAUGAGUGUGUGUGUGUGAGAUCUGUGAGACUGAGAUGAGUGUGUGUGUGAGAUCUCUGAGACUGAGAUGAGUGUGUGUGUGUGAGAUCUGUGAGACUGAGAUGAGUGUGUGUGUGAGAUCUCUGAGACUGAGAUGAGUGUGUGUGUGUGAGAUCUGAGACUGAGAUGAGUGUGUGUGUGAGAUCUCUGAGACUGAGAUGAGUGUGUGUGUGAGAUCUGUGAGACUGAGAUGAGUGUGUAUGUGAGAUCUUUGAGACUGAGAUGAGUGUGUGAGAUCUCUCAGACUGAGAUGAGUGUGUGUGUGAGAUCUGUCAGACUGAGAUGAGUGUGUGUGUGAGAUCUCUCAGACUGAGAUGAGUGUGUGUGUGAGAUCUGUCAGACUGAGAUGAAUGUGUGUGUGAGAUCUGUCAGACUGAGAUGAGUGUGAGUGAAAACUGUGAGACUGAGAUGAAUGUGUUUGUGAGAUCUCUGAGACUGAGAUGAGUGCGUGUGAGAGAUCUCUGAGACUGAGAUGAAUGUGUGUGAGAUCUCUGAGACUGAGAUGAGUGUGUGAGAUCUCUGAGACUGAGAUGAGUGUGUGUGAGAGAUCUCUGAGACUGAGAUGAAUGUGUGUGAGAUCUCUGAGACUGAGAUGAGUGCGUGUGAGAGAUAUCUGAGACUGAGAUGAAUGUAGAUCUCUGAAACUGAGAUGAGUGUGUGUGUGAGAGAUCUGAGACUGAUAUGAGCUUGCUCAGACCCAGUGGUGAGCAUU
ensembl:lncRNA